rnacentral:rRNA from 1 species
UACAGAGGGUGCAAGCGUUGUUCGGAAUUACUGGGCGUAAAGCGCGUGUAGGCGGCGUCGUUAGUCGGAUGUGAAAGCCCUCGGCUCAACCGAGGAAGUGCAUCCGAUACUGCGAUGCUUGAGUGUUGGAGGGGGUGGCGGAAUUCCCCGGUGUAGAGGUGAAAUUCGUAGAUAUCGGGGAGGAACACCUGUGGCGAAGGCGGCCACCUGGACAACAACUGACGCUGAGACGCGAAAGCGUGGGUAGCAAAACAGG